rnacentral:rRNA from 1 species
CACGUAGGGAGCAAGCGUUGUCCGGAUUUAUUGGGCGUAAAGAGCUCGUAGGUGGUUCGGUAAGUCAGGUGUGAAACCUCCAGGCUCAACCUGGAGACGCCACUUGAUACUGCUGUGACUGGAGUCCGGUAGGGGAGCGUGGAAUUCCUGGUGUAGCGGUGAAAUGCGCAGAUAUCAGGAGGAACACCAGCGGCGAAGGCGGCCAUCUGGACCAGCACUGACGCUGAGGCACGAAAGCGUGGGGAGCAAACAGG